CAGCCCUCACUGGAAAGGGGCAGACUGGGCUGGGGGAAUCCGGAUCCUUGGGAAGCUUCAAGAGGGAAAGAGGGCAGGAGUCACCUAACCUGAAGUCACUCUAUGUCCAAGAGAGAAAAACAACUUACACAGACCAUGUCUUGGGAACUAGAGCUGGCCAUUCUUCUUCAGGCUUCCUCCCCUGGGGGACAAAAAGAAAGCCAUUCACUGCAUUGUGACUUGAUGUUCCCAGGCUGACUUCUGUCACUGUGAUGUCAUCGACUACACUUAUUUCUCAAGCCUCCCCACUCACUCUCUCCCCUCCCACCGCUCACAGCCUCCCACACACAAAUUGGAAGCACACAGGAGUCUACACAAAGCUGAUCACCUCCUAACCCAGACAACCCACGGCCAAGGGGGCAGUGUGGGAGUGCAGGGCACAAACAUAUCUGCCUUGAACUCCUCCAGAAGAGGCCAGCAGAAGGGAUCCAUCUUCCACCCUGAGCUCCAGCUCGCCCUGCACCUGGGCCGCUCCUCCUACUGUGCGCAGAUCUCAGAUCUUCCUACUGGAACCCCACCUAUCAAGGCUCACAGGGGCUCACAGCAUCCAGGUGGCCCCUCCUGUGUAAACUCAGGGCUGAAGCACAGCGAGGCUGGAGGGGCUGCAGCUGUGAUGCUCAGGCAGCGUCCAGCAUUCUGUGCCCACUGUUAGUGAAUGGGACUGUGCACCAUGGACCACUCUCCUGAGAACCUUCCCUCAUCUAUGAUAACACUUAUGUUGUCUCAAGCCAUGAUCCUUUAUGAAGAUAAUUAGCUGUAAAACAUCCUGUCACAGGAGGUUUUGGACAAGUCUAUGGUCAGAGACCCAGGAUUCAUCACAGAUAAGAGAGGUGAGGAUACAGAUGUGUAUUGAAUAUUCCAAGCUUUCAACAUGGAUGAAAAAUUGCACAUAUGUAGUCUCCCCUCCCCCAGCCUGAAACCUGCUUGUUCUGGGGUGGAGCUUCCUGCUCAUUCGUUCUGCCAUGCCCACUGCUAGAACCUGCCGCCUUGCUGUUCUGAAGCCAUCACGUGCUCACCCUGCUACUGGAUCCGAGAUUAUUUGGCGGGAAUCGGGUCCCCUCCCCCUUCCUUCAUAACUGAGUGUUGCAACAGUAAAAAUGGAGCUUUGAU
rnacentral:lncRNA from 1 species